GCUUCAUGAACAUUUAUGAUGCUACAGAGUGCAGAAAGUUCAGUAUAGUUUCAUUCAGCUAAGAGCAUUUAUCAUGUUCACUAUCAUUUUCAUGUGUCUGUGGCUUUCAAUAGGUGACUCCAUGGCGGAUUCAAUAAAGUCACUUCUUACUCAUAAAGUUGUAGAUGAAGGUGAUGAUGUUACUCUGUCCUGCAGCUACAAAGACUUUAGUGGUUCUGUAGGGAAUCUGCAGUGGUACAAACAAGAUCCAAAAUCUAAUCCUGAGUUCAUUCUUUAUAUUUAUGAAAGUGGAGCUUUAAGUCCCAACAUCCCACCAAGAACGAGUGCUAAAGUUCAUGGAAAUAAACAAGUGGAUCUGCACAUCUCCUCUGCUGCUGUAUCAGACUCUGCACUGUACUACUGCGCUCUGACGCCCACAGUGACAGGAAACCCAACUCCACUGUACAAAAAGCAUUACACAAUUUUAUAA